UGGGGGAUAUUGCACAAUGGGCGAAAGCCUGAUGCAGCGACGCCGCGUGGGGGAUGAAGGCCUUCGGGUUGUAAACUUCUUUUGCUCUGAACAAGGCGCACCAUGGGGUGUGUUGAGUGUAGGGGUUGAUUAGCGCCGGCUAACUACGUGCCAGCAGCCGCGGUAAUACGUAGGGCGCGAGCGUUGUCCUGAAUUAUUGGGCGUAAAGGGCUUGUAGGUGGCUGGUUGCGUCUGUCGUGAAAGCUCAUGGCUUAACUGUGGGUUUGCGGUGGGUACGGGCUGGCUUGAGUGCAGUAGGGGAGGCUGGAAUUCCUGGUGUAGCGGUGGAAUGCGCAGAUAUCAGGAGGAAUACCGGUGGCGAAGGCGGGUCUCUGGGCUGUUACUGACACUGAGGAGCGAAAGCAUGGGGAGCGAACAGG
rnacentral:rRNA from 1 species